rnacentral:misc_RNA from 1 species
AACGGUCUAUACCUGCGGUACCUGCGGAGGGAUCAUUAGUGAGCGCCCUCACGGGCUUAUAACUAUUCCAAACCUCUGUGAACCGUGCCCUUCGGGGCUAUUUUACAAACAUGGUGUAAUGAACGUCAUAUAUCAUAACAAAACAAAACUUUCAGCAACGGAUCUCU